GAUUAACGCUGGCGGCGUGCCUAAUACAUGCAAGUCGAGCGAACAGACGAGGAGCUUGCUCCUCUGACGUUAGCGGCGGACGGGUGAGUAACACGUGGAUAACCUACCUAUAAGACUGGGAUAACUUCGGGAAACCGGAGCUAAUACCGGAUAAUAUAUUGAACCGCAUGGUUCAAUAGUGAAAGACGGUUUUGCUGUCACUUAUAGAUGGAUCCGCGCCGCAUUAGCUAGUUGGUAAGGUAACGGCUUACCAAGGCAACGAUGCGUAGCCGACCUGAGAGGGUGAUCGGCCACACUGGAACUGAGACACGGUCCAGACUCCUACGGGAGGCAGCAGUAGGGAAUCUUCCGCAAUGGGCGAAAGCUUGACGGAGCAACGCCGCGUGAGUGAUGAAGGUCUUCGGAUCGUAAAACUCUGUUAUUAGGGAAGAACAAAUGUGUAAGCAACUAUGCACGUCUUGACGGUACCUAAUCAGAAAGCCACGGCUAACUACGUG
rnacentral:rRNA from 1 species